rnacentral:rRNA from 1 species
UACGGAGGGUGCAAGCGUUAUCCGGAUUCACUGGGCGUAAAGGGCGCGUAGGCGGGAUGGCAAGUCGGUCGUGAAAUCCUUCGGCUCAACCGAAGAACGUCGGCCGAUACUGCCGUUCUUGAGGGAUGCAGAGGAGAUUGGAAUUCCCGGUGUAGCGGUGAAAUGUGUAGAGAUCGGGAGGAACACCGGUGGCGAAGGCGGGUCUCUGGGCAUCUCCUGACGCUGAGGCGCGAAAGCGUGGGGAGCAAACGGG